UUAUAUUUUAUUUAUUAAUUAAUUUUUUUUUUGUUAUAAAUUAUUAAAAAUAAUUAUUAUAUGACUUGUUUAAGUAUUUUAUAAAGAAAGAAUAAUUUUAAUUAUAGUUAAAUAGUAUUGUGAAAGAAAAUUGAAAUAAUUUGAAAAAUUAAUGUAUAAAAAGAAAAUUUAAUUUAUUGUACCUUGUGUAUCAGGGUUUAUUAAAUAAAAAUUAUUUAUUAUAAUUUUCUCGAUUUUAAAAGAGUUAGUAUGUUAUAAAAGUUAAUGUGAUAAAAUUAUUUUGUAUAAUAUAUUGGAAAUGAAAUGUUAUUCGUUUUUAAAGGUAUCUAGUUCUUUAAGAAAUAAAUUUAAUUUAGAAAUUUUAUAUUAUUUAAUUAAAUAUAUUAAUUAAAUAAUUAUUUUAUUUUAAUAUUUUAUGGGAUAAGCUAUGGAAUAAAUUAUUAAAAAUUAUUAAAUAAUUUAAUAAAUGUAAGCUUAGAAAUAGCUAUUAUUAAUGAAAUUGUUAUAAUUUAUUUUAUUGUAUUAAUUAUUUAUUGAAUUUUAAUUAUGUAUUAAAGUAUUUAUUUUAAUUGUAAAAAUAAAAAAAUAAUGAUAAAAUUAGUAUAUUAUAGUGUAUAGAUAAAAUUAAUUGAUAAGUUUUUAUAAAGAACUCGGCAAAAAUAAUGUUCGCCUGUUUAACAAAAACAUGUCUUUUUGAAUUUUUUUUAAAGUCUAGCCUGCCCACUGAUUAAUUUAAAUGGCCGCAGUAUACUAACUGUGCAAAGGUAGCAUAAUCAUUAGUCUUUUAAUUGAAGGCUGGUAUGAAUGGUUGGACGAGAUAUUAACUGUUUCAUUAAAAUUUAUAAUAGAAUUUUAUUUUUUAGUCAAAAAGCUAAAAUAAAAUUAAAAGACGAGAAGACCCUAUAAAUCUUUAUACAUAUGAAUUAUUAGAAUUUUAUAGAUUUUUUUUGUUAUAAUAGUUGAUUGUAUUUUAUUGGGGUGAUAUUAAAAUUUAAUAAACUUUUAAUUUUAAAAAUCAUUAAUUUAUGAAUAAUUGAUCCGUUAAUAGCGAUUAUAAAAAUAAGUUACUUUAGGGAUAACAGCGUAAUUUUUUUGGAGAGUUCAUAUUGAUAAAAAAGAUUGCGACCUCGAUGUUGGAUUAAGAUAUAAUUUUAGGUGUAGUCGCUUAAAUUUUAAGUCUGUUCGACUUUUAAAUUCUUACAUGAUCUGAGUUCAAACCGGCGUAAGCCAGGUUGGUUUCUAUCUUUAAAAAAUUAAAAUAUUUCAGUACGAAAGGACCUAAUAUUUAAUAAAUAAUUAUUUUUAUAUUGAAUAUAAAUAAUUUAU
rnacentral:rRNA from 1 species